CCUGAAGAUUUUGUCAUUUCUAGCUUAUUGAUCAACAUUUCAACUGAAAGUGUAUCUACAGUUGAAGAUCUCAAUAGCAAUAAGGUUGGUGUUGAAUUGGAAAAAUGUCUAGCAGCUAACACCUCACACUUAACAGGGAAAAGGCAAACAGAGUUUGUCAAAACAGGUAUUCCUGAACCAAGACAAACAAGUACACCGCCAACACCAAUUUUCAACAGUGAAGGCUGCCUAGUAUUCAGCAAAUUUGAUUUAGGAGAACUAUCUAAUCCCUCACCCAUUCUGAACAAGACCACUUUAGAUUCAAAAGUGGCAACAAAAAAAAAACUCAAAGCCAAAGUUAAAAUCUUGGAUGGCCAAGCUGAAGUUGAGAAUGCGAGAAGUAUUGAAGAGAAACGGGCAUGAAAAGGUGCCCUGCAAAUAGCCAAAGUCUUUCAGGUAAAAAAACAAUGUGGAAUUACUUGCUAAAUCUAUUAAGAAACAAGAUGAAAUCAAAUCAGAUAGUAAAAAGAAGUUGGCUGAACGCAUUGAAGAAUAGGAAAAGAGAAAGGAAUAACAACAGAAAACGAAAAAACCCAACAUUAAGAAAAAGAAAACUGAAAAGAAAGAACAUAAUCCGAAUGAACACCUCACACUUUACAGGGAAAAAGCUGUAAUUGUCUGAUAAGACAACGAAAAUCAAACUUAAACGGAAGCUAGAAGGAAUGAAGAAGAAAUUAAAAAGGAAAAGUAAGAAGAAGAGGUCCUGCAUUGCCAAACAUGCUCGAGCAACAAGGCAGUAUCUGUGUCAUCAACCUCUGGUCUUUCAGAGUUUGUUAAAACAGAAAUUCCUGAACCAAG